UGGGGAAUAUUGGACAAUGGGGGCAACCCUGAUCCAGCAAUGCCACGUGUGUGAAGAAGGCCUGCGGGUUGUAAAGCACUUUCAGUAGGGAAAAAGCCUUCAAGGCAAAUAACCUUGAAGAAUGAUAUCAACUACACAAGAAGCACCGGCUAAUUCCGUGCCAGCAGCCGCGGUAAUACGGGAGGUGCGAGCGUUAAUCGGAAUUACUGGGCGUAAAGCGCGCGUAGGCGGUUUUAUCAGUUGAAUGUGAAAGCCCCGGGCUCAACCUGGGAAUUGCAUCCAAUACUGUAAGACUAGAGUACAGAAUAGGAAGAUGGAAUUCCGGGUGUAGCGGUGAAAUGCAUAGAUAUCCGGAGGAACACCAGUGGCGAAGGCGAUCUUCUCGUCUGAAACUGACGCUGAGGUGCGAAAGCGUGGGGAGCAAACAGG
rnacentral:rRNA from 2 species